GCCGAUGUGGUGAAAUAGGUAGACACGCUAUUUCGAGAGGAUAGUAACCUACAGGUUAUGCGGGUUCAAAUCCCGCCUUCGGCA
rnacentral:tRNA from 1 species